GGCUAGAUGGCCGAGCGGUCUAAGGCGCCACGUUUAGGUAAUCACACCUGGAUCCGUGGUCUCGUAAGGGGCGUGAGUUCGAAUCUCACUCUAGUCA